GCCUAACACAUGCAAGUCGAACGGGACUUAAUGGAAUGCGGCUUCGGCCAAAGGAAGUUAAGUUUAGUGGCGAACGGGUGAGUAACGCGUGAGGAACCUGCCUUUCAGUGGGGGACAACAGUUGGAAACGACUGCUAAUACCGCAUAAUGUGUCUUGGGGGCAUCCCUGAGAUACCAAAGCUUUAUGUGCUGAAAGAUGGCCUCGCGUCUGAUUAGAUAGUUGGUGGGGUAACGGCUCACCAAGUCAACGAUCAGUAGCCGGUCUGAGAGGAUGAACGGCCACAUUGGGACUGAGAUACGGCCCAGACUCCUACGGGAGGCAGCAGUGGGGAAUAUUGGGCAAUGGGGGAAACCCUGGCCCAGCAACGCCGCGUGAAGGAAGAAGGCCUUCGGGUUGUAAACUUCUUUUAGUAGGGACGAAGAACGUGACGGUACCUACAGAAAAAGCAACGGCUAACUACGUGCCAGCCGCCGCCGUAAUAC
rnacentral:rRNA from 1 species